AUUCGAUAAUUAUAAAAAAACCUAUUUAGAGUCUCCACAUAACUACACAAAAUACACUUGUGAAUAUAUGUACAACGUGAAGAAUGACAAAACAGAUAUUAAAAAAAUUAAUUACUCACAUAAUUAUGAACAUUUAAAAUGGACACAUUACAAUAAGCUGUCAAUUAACUUAUUAAAAGAGUAUGUGAAAAUAUUUUGCAGAAUCAAAAAGAAAAAGAAUUUGUUAGCUGAUUGGGGUAGUACUGUUAUGGAUAGUGUUGCUCAGAAAUGUGCUGCUAAAGAUAUAGAUAACAUAAAUGGUAAGCGUAUGGAUAGACUAAACAAAAAAAACAUAUCUGAAAUAAAAAUAACAACAAAGGAAGCUGCCAUAGAAUGUAGCACAAAAAUAAAUACAAAUAUGGUAAAGAACAGACAAUCAAAAAACGAGAUAUAUUUAAAAUUAAAUAAAAACAUAAUGAAUUAUAGUUUGACAGAAGAAACUAACACCAUAUAUAAAGAAAAACAUAAAACAAAUAACGAACAGUUAAGCAAUAUAUAUGAUUAUUAUAUACAUGAUGAUAUUAUACAUAUAAAUACAAUAAAAUAUAUAUGGUUGAAACAUGUGUUAAUAAUUUUUAAGUUGUUAAUCAAGAGUAAUAUGAUGAUUGAUUUUAAAAGGAAAUCAACAUUAACAAUUGUAGUAGUUAAUAUUGUUAAAAGAUUGUAUUUUAAUGGUUUGAGUAGGAACGGAGAUAUUGUUAACACGAAUAGUAGCAAUGACCAUAGAGACAUAAACAUAAACAUGAAUACGAAUUUGUAUUUGUAUUAUAUAUAUUUGUUCUCACAAAUUAGUUUGAUAGAUAAAAAUAUGAUUAUACUAUUAUGUAAAGAUAUGCAGAAGCACUAUAAACAUUUGAACGUAUUGAACAAAUUUUAUUUGUUGCAAUGUUUACAUACUUUUAACUUUUUAGCUAAUAACUUUCGUAAAAUUAAUAAUUAUUUACAUAAGUAUUUUUACAAUUUAAUAAAAGAAGAAUAUGUAUUAUCCAAAUGUUAUGAUAAUAUAGAUGGUGAUAAAAAAAAAAAGAAAACGUGUGAGAGUGAUUCUUCUUUUUUAAAGCAUAUCGAAAUGAGUAUAUUGACACAACUUCCGAAACAAUCGUCGGAACAGGUGCCUAUAUCGUUACUACAUGACAUAGAAGUAAAAAUAAAAGAUAAAAACGAUGUUAUUCUUUUAAAUAAUCAUUUAUUUGAUAUAUUUGAAAUUCUAUUUAAACAUAAAGCCCAUGUAACUCAUUUGGAUAAGGUCUUAUUUAAAUGUGCCAUAAAAAAAGAGUUACAAAAAUAUAAUAAAAUAAACAUAAAAAUAUUAAAAACUGGUUUAAAAAUAUCUGACAAGACUUUAAUAACUUUUUUAAUUAAUCAUAUUAUAAAUAAUUUGCAGUUUUAUGAUCCAACAGAAAUUAAUAAUAUAGUAAGUAUUUUUUUAAAAAAUAAAAACGAAUGUUCGUCCGAAUUUUUGCAAAUUUUAAUGACUCAAAAUUUUGAAAUUAUAAAUAUAAAAUAUGUUAUCUGUUUUUAUUUAUGUAUAAACAGGUUUAUGAAAAAAUGGGGAAAGCUAAAUAAAGAAAAAAAUAGUAGCAGUAACAAUAAUACAAAUCACUCUGUUUUAAAUAACAACUAUUUAGAACAUUGUAUAAAUAACAAUAACAGUAAUAAUAGUAAAUCCAAAUUGUGUAUAUUCUUUGCUAAUGAUUUAAAAAAAAAGAAUAUACAAAUGGAUGCAAUAAACAAAUGCAUAGCUAACAAAAUGGUUAACCAACAAAACAAGUUAUCAUUUCAAUUUGAUAUAUUAAUGAAUCAUUUAGACAACGAAUUUUCAAAAGAAAGUGAACUACGACAAAAGCGAACAUAUGAAGACGAAGAUAUGACAAAAAAUAUAUACACGAUGCAACCACAUACGAUGCAACCACAUACGAUGCAACGAAUUUUACAACUGCUCAAAUUAAUAAACACGAAUCUUAUAAACGUAUUGAUAGCAAAAAAAGAUUAUUUAAAUGCUCAUAAUAUUAUUACCUUAUUAUAUAACACUUGUUCCAUUAGUAAUGAUAAAGAACAAAAUUUCAUCAAUGAAUUAUUUUUACUGUUAUAUGAAGAAAAUAAAAUGACAAUCAAUUUUAUACAUUUAUAUGACAUUUUAUUUAAAAAUUUUGUUUUUUACAACACCCAAAUUGUAAUUACAAAAAAUGAGGAAACGGAGCAACCUAAAAAUAAUACUGUAGUAAAGGGUUUAAACAUAACAAGUAACAACACUACUAAAAAUGGAGUUUUAAAAUAUCAAAAUAAAAUGAAAAUCAUUUUUAAUUAUAUUAAAAAGCGAUACUAUAUCAACGAAGCAUAUAUUUAUGACAUUAAUAAAUAUACUAUUUUGUUAAAUAUAUACGAUAAAAUUGUAUUAAACGUUUUGAUGUAUCAUAUGUAUAAACAUAACGAAGAAUAUAAUAAUAGCCUUAGUAUACAAAAAAUUUUAUUUUUUAUUUUACAUAUAUAUUCUCAUUUGCAAUUUAUACUUUUUAAUAAAAAUGGAAAAGGACAUUUAGAAGUUGAUAAAAUGGAGUUAAUUUUUACUUAUAGUAGUUCUAUUAUGAAAAAAAUUAGUAUAUAUAUAGACUCAAUUAUGUGUGCGCGAACAAGUUAUGAAUCGCUAGAGCAUAGACAUGUGAAAGAGCAAGAGCAAGAGCAAGGACAAAGUAAACAGUUAAUAAACACACAAAUAAAUAACUGCUUGGGGUAUGGUAAUUUUUUCGAAGAUUUACUUUUAAACGAUGGGGUUUGUAGUACUGUAGCGGUUUCGAAUUUGCUUGAAACAAAUGCACUAGCAGAUAAUACAUGCGAUGAGCAGAUAAUGAAUGAAAAAACGCGUAGUAUAUUUAAUUAUAAUAAGACGAACGUGAAUACAAAUGAUAAAAUAAGCAAUCAAUCUCUUAGCAAAUCCAAUGGAAAUAUACAAAAAAGUCAAAGCAUUCAUCUAAACAUAGAAACAGAUGAGGAUUUAAAAAAUAUAAAUAAUUGCAAAAAUGAAGAUGAUGUCCGAUUGUGUUUAAACAUACUUGAAUAUAUUAGUUAUGUUUGUUCAUACAUAUACUUUAAUACAGAAACUAUUAAAACUAUCCAAAUAAAAGAAAAUAUAAUUUACAUUUAUAUGAUUUUAUUAAAAUAUGAUUUAAAAAGUAAUAUCAUCACUAGUGUUAAUGAUGUCAUUGUUAUUAACACCGCUACUAAUCAUAUUUUUGAAUUAUUAAAGACAAUGGAUAUAAACGAGUUAAAUAAAAAUGCUAUUUUUAUAACUGCUCUGGAUUAUAUUAGUGUGCAUUGUAAUAUCAAAUCAAUCACCCUUCGGUUAUUUCGCAGUAUAAAAAAUAAGAAUAUAAAAAACAAAACAAAACAUAUGAUAACACCACCAAAGUAUUCACGGUAAUAAGCUCAAAAAAAAAAAAUAAAAAAAUAAAAAAUAAAAUAAAAAAUAAAAAA
rnacentral:lncRNA from 1 species